rnacentral:tRNA from 1 species
GGUCUUAUAGUCAAUAAUGACAUUAGAUUGCAAAUCUAAAGGAGUAUUAAUUACUAAGACUU